AAAAGAACAAACCGAUUGCUCCUCCGCCCGUUGAUGUCAAGUUUUUUUCUGUCAAACUGAUGAAAAAAACGAUGAACGAAGGCGGUUUGAGUUGAACGAAGAAAGUAGUCGUUGGAGUGGGACGAAGAUAAGCGAACGAUGAACGAAAGCGAAUGAUGAACGAAGGCGCGGUGGCUGGCAACUGUUGUCUUUUUUAUUGUAAUUGGGAUAUUAGCAAUGAUGUAAAAAUAAUUAAGGUUAACUAUAUGUUUUUUAAUGGUUAAUUAAUAGUUAACUAACUUUGUAUGAUUUUUUAUAUAAAACAUGAAUAUAUAUUGAUAAUUACUUUUUUU